CAGAAUGGAUUCAGCUGCUUCAGAAUUAGCAAGAUGAGCCCUGGCAUAGGCAGGUCUCCUUUCCUGACAGCUGAGUCCCAGAGGCAGCUGAAAGCCCUUCUGUUUACAGCCAUCUCCCAGCAGUGCUAACGCUUCUGCUCCAGCACUAGUAAGAAGGGAUUUCUAUGGACAUUUUCCCUGAGUGGGGUAAAGAUUAAAUGGUUUGCCCUGGACCACUGUACAGGCCUCUCCCUAACACUAGAAGGACUGGCUGAGAAAUGAGUAGAUGCAGCACGUGACACGAAGGUGGAAUUCAACAGCCGAUGGAAGAGAUGUUGAUCUAAAUUAUACUUCACUUUAAGGCUAGGUUUUCUCUCCAGGCGAUGUUUAGAGGCACCAGCAAGGAGUGCCCACCCUCAUCAAGCUGAAGGUGAUUUAAGGAGAAGGACAAGAUCUGCACUUUGGGUAAUGGAAAGCAAUUCUUCGCUUCAAGUUUUGUUAUGAAAGAAAAAACCCACUAGUGCUUGCUGGGGGAGGAGGAGCUUGGAGAGUGAGCAAAGGGCUGGGGAGUCAGUUUUACAU